GAGCACGCAAACUUAACCACUCGGCCACGGAGCCAGCCCCCGUUUUGCAUCUUAAAAGAAAAUCAUAAAAUUAUGGUAGAAUUUUGAUCAUCUGUUUCCACCUCAGAAGAAAGCCAAAAGACAAAAAGCAAGUUUAAAUUGCUGCAAGAGAAAUUUUAAUGAAAUUAAAAGAUGAUUCUUCCCUAAAUGUGACCAAACACUGGACUAGACUAUUAGGAAAGUCAUGUAUUUACAGGAUACAGAUUAUCUGCUGUGAAUGGCUCGAGCUUCAAUGUUCCUGAAAACACGUGGACUCAUACGACCGGGCUAUGUCAAUUCUGAAAGUACAGAUUUUUUAGUAGUUGAAGAGAGAAACCAUGUCAGUGACAAUUUUUACUGCUUUUCACCCCAUGUCUACUUAAUUCUCUCUUUCUCUAUAUCGACAGACUGCUGUUGCUCUUCCUUAGCAUGUCCAGGUAACUCAUGUACACUUUAUGGUUCUAGUAGAUUGGCCAGAGCCCCAGGUACCCAGUUCAUAACAGCAGCUAACACUUACCCAGUGAGACUAUGUGCCAGACACUGUUCUAAGCACUUAGACCUAUUAAGUUUUUAAUAUUCACAUCAAUCUUAUACGGUAGGUCCUAAUACUAUCCCCAUUGUAUAGACGGGGAAACUGAAGUACAGAAAAUUGAGUAAUUUACCCAAGAACACACUGUUAGUAAGCGGAGAGUGAGAAUGUGCACCUGGGCAGUCUGGCUUCUGAGUCUGUACUCUGGGACCAUGACACCAUACCGCAGAGCCAAGGAGUCCAAGAGGGGAACCAUGCCUAUUGUGAUGGCACCAUCCUUAGCCACUCAGGGUUCGAUUCACUUUUCAUUUAGUCAAUAUUUUAUUCAGCACAGACAGAGUUACAGACUGCAAAAAGAAUGUGCCCUGAACCUAGAACUGUCACCAUCUAAAACUGAACCAGAAAGAAUCAACAUGCAAGGAAUAGGAGUUGCCAACGGUAACAAUGCCCCCAGAUGCACCAAGCAGACCUUUAAGAAAAGACUUUAAGUGUUUGCUGAGAUGAACAUGUCUUUUAGAUUUUUUUUUCCAGGGACCUAGAUGUUCCAGUUCCUAACAAGAAGCCAUCAAUCUUCUGUUAAACGAACGCGACAAUUUGCAGAAUAUAGCUUACUUAACAAGAUACGAAGUUAAAAUAUGACAAAUGUUGGUAACCGGUGAAAAAUACUGAACAAGAAGCCUUCCUUAGGAAAGAAGUUUUUUAGCAUUUCUCCAACACUGUCUAGGGCAAAGCAUACUAACUCCUGACAGUGAGGUUCUGUGAGGGUACAAACCAUAUUAUAUCCAUCUUUUUCUCAUUAGCUCCUAGGAGUUCCCAGCAUAUUAGGUGUUCAAUACAUGUUUGUGGAACUGAACUGGACAACCACACAAGAAGAAUCAGACAGACACAUCACAGGCUUGGGAAAGAUUGCACAUCAGGCAAUAUAUCAAAAUGUCAUCUGCCACGGCAUCCUGUUCAGCAUCAGUGAGGAUAACAAUGUGAGGAAGACCACCUGGAUGGGAAGAUCAUAGGAGAAACCAAUGAGCAGAUAUUGCAGGAUUCAAGAAGGUGACAUCGUCACGUAAAGGUGAAGGUGGAUAUGAUUAAUAAAUUUCAAUUAUUUGGCCCUAUGUUAUAUGGAACACUGAGAAGUAAUUUCAUAAUUAUUUUUGCAUAAUCAUGGGGACUUAGUUAAUAUAAUGUUAAUAUUUGUAUUUUUGCCUGUGGUCUUUAAUCUGCUGGCUAGGAAAGCUUAAACUAUUAAAUGAUUUGUGAUGA